GCCGGUGUGUUGGAAUUGGUAGACGAGGCGGACUCAAAAUCCGUUGGUGACGACACCGUGUGGGUUCGAGUCCCACCACCGGCA
rnacentral:tRNA from 1 species